rnacentral:rRNA from 1 species
AACGAACGCUGGCGGCAUGCCUAACACAUGCAAGUCGAACGAGAUCCUUCGGGGUCUAGUGGCGCACGGGUGCGUAACGCGUGGGAAUCUGCCCUUGGGUUUGGAAUAACAGUUAGAAAUGACUGCUAAUACCAAAUGAUGUCUUCGGACCAAAGAUUUAUCGCCCAGGGAUGAGCCCGCGUAGGAUUAGCUAGUUGGUGGGGUAAAGGCCUACCAAGGCGACGAUCCUUAGCUGGUCUGGGAGGAUGAUCAGCCACACUGGGACUGAGACACGGCCCAG